UACGUAGGGGGCUAGCGUUGUCCGGAAUCAUUGGGCGUAAAGAGCGUGUAGGCGGCCCGGUAAGUCCGCUGUAAAAGUCAAAGGCUCAACCUUUGAAUGUCAGUGGAUACUGCCGGGCUCGAGUCCGGAAGAGGCGAGUGGAAUUCCUGGUGUAGCGGUGAAAUGCGCAGAUAUCAGGAGGAACACCAAUGGCGAAGGCAGCUCGCUGGGACGUGACUGACGCUGAGACGCGAAAGCGUGGGGAGCAAACAGG
rnacentral:rRNA from 1 species